rnacentral:lncRNA from 1 species
CCAGCUGUUCUAACACCUCCUGCCUGCCAGUACUGACUCUUUAUGCAUGGGGGCUUCCGGCUUAUCUAUACUUCGAAGACAGUGAACUAGGUAAUAUUAAAGGUUAACCAGAUAUAGGACUCCUCUGUCUUGCUACGAUGGACAGCCACAAGGAUUCACUUGAAUAAAAGAAGCAACAGUGGGUGCCAGGCUGUUUGAAUUCUUAUUCGGGGUCCAGAGAGAUGGGUAAGAGCAUUUGUUGCUCUUGCAGCGGACCUGGGUUUGGUGUCUAACAUCCAUGUGGUGGCUCACAUCCAUCAGUAACUCCAUUCGAGGAGAUCCAAUACCCUCUACUGCCCUCCUCUAGUACCACACAGAAAUGUGCUGUUUUGUUAUACAUUUAUUACAAAGAAUCUCACAAAAAGAAAAUAUUUCAAAAAGAAUGCCAGGCUAAAGAACCUCCACCUGGAGAACUGGGGGAAGGCAGGGCAAUAAUAUCAACGUCAACAUACAGCACCCUCUGGCCAUACUUUAGCAGUUCCAGGAUGGCCAAGACGACAUCGUUGAUGUAACAGAAACCUGAGGCGUCAGACUUCUUUACAUGAUGCAGUCCCCCAGCCUGGCUCGCAGUGAUGUCCCUCUGAUGUGUAUCAAGUUUCACAGCACUUUCCAAAGAGCCACCAAUAGACAACUGACAACUCAGACAGGCCAUCGAUUACCGGGAAGUCCUCACCAACGCGGAAUCUCUGCAUCUGCUUGCUGUAUUUAGACACAUUAUCUGGGCGAAUAGAGCACAAGAGUUUAAUGUAGUCAUCACUGUGGGACUUGGUCAUCUCCUCAGCGUUGGCUCUGUGAGGACGAUAGAUUUCCAUUUUUUGGUAGAGAUGUAGUUGAGCUGCAAAUCACGAGUCAUGUGGAUUCGGUGAGGCUUCAUUGGGUGGCCCUGUCCAUAAGAUAGUUUCCAACAUCCCUGUUAACAGACGUUCCUCUUGCCCUGAGUCUGUGCCAUCUUUCUCACCACCCAGUGCUCCUGCCAGUCUGAUGUUUUAAUAUUUUUAGAUGGUGAUGCUUUGAGUUUAAAUGGCCUUUGACAAAUUCUAUCCUAAUUUCUAAUUAAGACAAGGAAAGAAAACAAAGAUGGAUAAGGACCAUAAAGUAAUGAAUGGACUGGAAACAGAAGUAAACUUAUUCAACAAUAAAA